rnacentral:lncRNA from 1 species
UGAUUGCGAAAUCAAGCCCCCCAUUCUCUAAAGCUCUCAGUCAGGGGUGUUCCUCGGUUUCGGAUGAAAUCGGGGCGGGUUGACAAUACUUCACACGCCUUGGGCGCGUUGUUGCAGUCUGUUAGAUUUGAAGAACUGCCGUGUUUCAUUCCUGAGGAAUUUUGUCUUUGCUCGGUGUAGUGCCUGUCCGUUGAGCCACACUUCUCAGUAAUAAUUCAAGCUCUGAAAAUUCCGAACUUGAUUCAGCAUUCGUCUCUUCCGUUUCCCCCCAAAUUUUAAACUUGCUGUGGUGGUCUACUUUCCUUGGUUGAUGCCUGAAUUGGGUCCUCGAUUGGGCUAUAAUAUAUACAUCUGGAACUGCAAUGAACGGCUGACUGGUUGGCCACGUUGAAAAGCGUAGUGCUAGUGUGCGGCAGAUCGGCUGGCCACGUGGCAGAAGCGGAGAUUUACGUUUGUGCCACUUAUCCCCAUGAGAAUCGUCUCUUAUCUCCUCUCGUUUCCCUCGCGACGAAACAUGCAUCGGCGUCUACGUGCGUGGGGUAUUAGAUAGUGUCUCGCUCGAGAUCACAUCCUCACGGCCGCAGCGUCAACAAUGUCACCGUCGUCGUCGCUCUACUCCGGCCGUCUCCUCUCCUCCCGCCCGGCGUCCAAGGGGCUCGUACGUCGUCUCCUCAAUCACGAUGGGAGCAGGUGGGUCAGGCCGUCGUGCUCCCUGUCUAUGAACGGCUGCGCGGCCGGCGUGGGCGCGGUGACCAUGCACGAGACGCGGGUCCUGCCGGCCGCGUCGGCGCCGCAGGAGGCCGUCGGGCAGCUCAGGGCCGCCGUCGCCGCGCUCAACGCCGACCCGCCGGUGUCCUCCUCCGGCAUCAUCCGCAUCGAGGUAGCAAAAGCACAUGGUCUUCAAUGGCGAACUGCGUUUGAUCGUAUUCGUAUCUGGAUAAAAUGGGACGCGCGCGCACGCAGGUGCCGAUUCGGCAGCGAGGGGACGCCAUCGAGUGGCUGCACGCGCAGAGGCAGAGCUCCCUGCCCCGCUGCUUCUUCUCCGCCCGGGCGCCGCUGCCGGACACUCCGGCCCUCGCCGUGGGCAUCAGCAGCAACGGCAACGGCAGCCACAAGGAGCAGUGGGAGCAGCCGGUAAGCGUCGCCGGCGUGGGGUCGGCGGUCUUCUUCCGCGGCACGGACCCCUUCUCCCUCCGCGACUGGCGAGCCAUCAAGAGGUACGCAAAAACUCACUACCUACUCGAUCAGCUACUAUGUUUUUUCUGAAUUGGAUGAACUAUGAUAAAGCUUGGCUUAGAGUGCGUUUACGACGCUGUUCCUCCUCUUCUUUGUCCGUGAAGAUUUCUUUCAAGGGACUGCCCGCUGAUCCGCGCCUACGGCGCCAUCCGUUUCGACGCGUCGAGCGACGCCUCGGUCGAAUGGGAAGACUACGGCGCAUUCUACUUCGUCGUUCCACAAGUAAGUCGAUCCGCAACUGGUGACAGUUUCAUUCUGCAUGAUGAAUGCAAUGUGCAUGUGUACUGCCUUAUUUCAAGUGUGUGUGAUGUAAAAAUGUACUGCAUUGCAGGUUGAGUUCAGCGAGCUCGAGGAGGGCUCGGUUCUCGCGACGACGAUUGCGUGGGACGACUCCCUUUCUUGGACAUGGCAGAGCGCUGUGGAGGAGCUUCAAUCGACAUUGCACGAGGCAUGGCAUUUUGUUUCCCUGCAUUCUCAUGUGGAAGAUAGUAAGUUAGCAACCGCUAAUUUGAACUUGUAUGCAGAUAUCACCCUGUUCAGUUAAGGUGAACAGGUCCACCCUGCAAACCGCCAUCGUAAAUCUCAAUCAUGUCCCCACCAAGGCGUCCUGGGAUCUUGCUGUUACUCAAGCUCUUCGGAUGAUCAAAGGGAGCCAGACGGAAUUAGUCAAGGUAAACCAUUCAUCGCGUCACUGUCUGCCAAAACAAAAACUAGACGAGUAAUUUUCUUUACCUGUCUUUUUGUGAGUAUAGAGAGGUUUAGUUCAACCAAUCUCUUCCAAUCCUGAUAUUUGUAUGAAUGCUAGAAUUUUUCAGUUAGUUACUAAAAAAACACUUAUUUUCCAUUUUUGUUUUCGACAUAUAUUGAACUUGCCAAUGAACUAUUUCUGCAGGUUGUGCUGGCAAGGUGCAGCAGGUACAUCACUGAUACUUGCAUCGACCCUCUGGAGCUGUUAGCUUGUCUGAAGGUAUGUCGUAUUAUUGUCCUCUCCCUUCAUGAUGUACUCAUAUCAUCUUGUUUACGAGAAGAUCAUUCUGCGACUCUUGUAUGUAUAGGUUGAGGGCCAGAAUGCCUACCAGUUCUGCAUACAGCCACCCGAUGCUCCUGCAUUUGUUGGAAAUAGUGUAUGUCUUCUGCGAUGCACUUUCUUUUCUUCCUGAUAUACCUGACCUUCAGAGUCCUGUUUAGAAACAGGUCUUACUUAUGCCUUGUGCAUUGUUUAUCUCUAUAUUUGCUCUAGCACUGUUAAAUAACUCUCUUCUAACUAUUGCUAAUUUCAUCCAAACAUUCUGAAUAGCCAGAGCAACUAUUUCACCGGAAAUACUUGAACAUUUCCAGCGAGGCUUUAGCCGGUACGCGAGCAAGAGGGAAAACAAGGGCUGAUGAUUUUCAAAUUGGCCAGGAAUUGCUUCUAAGGUUUGUUUCCCCUCUUUGUGCUUGUAAUCAUAAGAUUGACAUAUUUCUGAAAUUUUACGGAGAUAUCGGCACCUUGUACGAAGACCAGACUGGUCAGUAAUGUAAAUAAUUCUUGCAGCAUCAAAGAGGACACUGAAUUUACUAUAGUACGGGAAAGCAUAAAGAAGAAGCUUGAGGCAAGUUAAGUUUCAGAGUCCAAUUUCAGAUAUGAUCCUGGACUAGUUUGCGUUGCUCUUGGUACUCAGCAGUAAUGCUUUUCAGAAAACAAAAUAUGGUGACUGUAAUUUUUGCUGAACCAGUGGAUCUGAUCUAAUCUGCAGAUGAUCUGUGAUGAGGUUGUUGUCAAUCCCAGUAAGGCCCUUCGGAAACUUCCAAGAGUACAACAUUUGUCAGCUCAAUUAGCUGCAAGAUUAAGAAAUGAGGACGACGAGGUAAUCUGUGGUUUGAACAUUCUCUGUCACUUGGACAUGUAGGUAUCAUUUGAAUUUUCUUUUGCCCUGGAUUGUUGGAGACAUCGACUAGUGUUCAUAUAAUAGACUUGAUACUUCGUGCUGGUAUUUGCAGUUUGACAUCCUAAAUGCUCUUCAUCCAAGCCCAGCUGUUUGUGGUUUGCCCACUGAAGAAGCGCGCCAAUUCAUACGAGAUUAUGGUGUGUGCCUGUAUUCUGGCUGAAAUGUUAUCUAUGAACGCAUAUGCACUAUUGUGUUCUGUAUUUAGUACGCAACCUAUUGAUGGUGAUCUCUGAAUGCUAUUUUCUGAUGUUGCUGCAGAAAUUUUCGACCGUGGAAUGUACGCUGGACCUGUUGGUUGGUUUGGUGGAGCUGAAAGUGAGUUUGCUGUUGGAAUUAGAUCAGCACUACUUGGAAAAGUAAAUAAAACACAUGUCAUCAAUAUUUGUGUAAACCUUACCUUCUUAACCUAUCCUAAUUUAGAAGCAUAAGUCACCUAGCUGUCUUGUCCAGGGAUAUAGCACUUUAGUUUAUGCCGGUGCCGGGAUUGUCGAAGGUACAAAUCCAUCUUUUGAAUGGGAUGAGCUUGAUCUCAAAGCAUCUCAGGUAGUCUCUGUCCAAUGUCAUGACUGUUAUUACUGACUUCUAUUUGAAAUGCUAACACGUUAGAUCUUACGACUAUUUUCAGUUUGCAAAGUUGUUGCAGUAUCAAGAACAUCAUAUUUGCUACCAAGAGGCAGGAAACAUGGGGACAUUGAUUUGAACUGUAACUAGUAAGUCAUCAGAGAUUACAAUGCUUAGAAAGAGGUGGGAAAUUACGUUAUCUCAAUUAUAUAGAAUGUCUACAACUUCAGUUUGUAUCUGACAUUGGAAUGCCCGAUGUGUUUAUUUUGAACUCCUUCUACAGGGAAGUUUUGAUUUGGUGGGAAGAUUCCAAAUGGAGUUCAUAUCUGUUUGUGUGCGUGCGUUGUAAACUUCGAAAGAUUUCAGCCUGAUUUGCAUGGCUCUUGAAGAUGCAAUCACAGAAAUAUCGAAAUAUCGAUUCGAGGAGAUGACAGUGAUGAUAGUCGUGGAGCGUACAAAAGAUUAAAUAAAAGCAUAUUAAAUAAUUAUGUACAAUGAUUGUAACAAGUCAGUUUAGUGCAAAGUGUAUAUUACACGAUGAGUUUUUUUAUCCACGCACCCCAGGGAUGGGGAUGGGCAUCGGGAUGGUGUCACGGGUGUGUGGAUCAUAUUAUAGCAAAUCUCAACUGGGUAUUCCCCAUUGUCACUUUGAGUCUAGAUGGACCACAAUCUGAGUACUACUAUUAUUGACUCCCUCGCACGGUCUUCUUGUUCAUCAAAUGGAUGUUAAGAUAACUUUCCUAAAUGGAGAGUCAGAGAAGAAAAUUUACAUGGAACAAAAGAUGGAUUUGUAGUAUCGGGUCAGGAAAGGAAGAUCUGCAAUUUACUGAAAUCUUUGCAUGGCCUAAAACUAGCACAUAAGCAAUGACACCAGAAAUUUAUCAAAACUUUAAAUUUCAUAGACUUUGUUGUCAAUGAAGACAAAAAAUGUGUUUGCUACCGUUAUGGUGGAGGCAAGGGAGUGAUCAUUUGCUUGUACGUUGAUGCAUACUAAUCUUUAGCACCAGGGGAUCUGUGAAGUAGGACCUCGGAAAACAAACCUUUGCAGUUGGAGAGAACAUUUCCUAAAAUCACUCAUUUGAACAUGUAGUUCUCUCACGGAUAUAGUAAGGCGGACUUAUUAUUCUUAAUGUGCUCUAUUACUUGUGUACGCGAAGAUGUUGCCUUACAGGACUGUCUUUGAAAAAACAAACCUUUAUGAGCUAGUUGCCGGUCACACUCUAUGAUAUUAGGUAAUAUCUAGUAAGCUCAUGAAAGGCCAGGAGUACGACUUAUGUUGCUGGUCACACUCUAUUUCAAAUGGAGUACACGUUCACUCACUAACUCGACUUACCACGCCACACAUGGUGCGCACGUCGUGUUUCACGAGUCAAAUUCGAGUUUGAGCUAAGAGCAGUUUUAACAUGCUCCCUCUUACGUCAUCUUUUCACAUGAGAGGUAAGAGUACAUAUUAGAUCUGAGCCGUUGAUCUCAUUAAUUAGUGAUCCGAUUAACUCUUACCUUCUUACCGCACAUGUAAAAAGAAGGGGUAAGAGGGAGCAUGUUAAAUUUUGCCUUGAGCUAAUAUUAUGCACUAUGUUUGAAGAACUAAAAUUUUGCUUGGCAGUGCAUUGCUAAGGAAGCUUCGGGUGUACAUGUCAACACUCAGCUCGUUGUGGGCACAUUUUUUUGCUUUCAGAGAUUUCUUCCGCCAUGUGUUAGUUGCAUCUCCCCAGUCUUCCAUGCAUUGAAGGUCAGAACUACCAAAUCAUCAUAACGGUAAUCUAAUGCAAUAUGACCAAACAACAUAAACUGGUUGGUCUAUUCAACUUGAUAUUCCAACCAUUUUAGAUAUGGAAAGCUAUUUCCAAAUUCUUGAUAAGGAAAGGUAGUACGUAUGUGUACCUUGGCCAUUUGUCCUGUCUAAGAAAGCAUGUAGUUUCAAUGUUGUUCUGUAAUACAUCAUUCCAUGAACAAACAUUACAGUUGUAUUAGGGCAAACUCACUGCCGGUUGCUUGAAAACCCUUGUCAAGACCGAGUUCUAUCACCAUAGGCAACCUCGUAAGCUAGUGGCGGAGCUACAUGCAUUGUUGAGGGGGAGGGGGCCAAUGCCCCCCCACCCUAGGAUAUUUAGUGAAUAAAAAAGUAGAGGCUUAGAUUAAUAAGAUUGUAGUCAUCCUCCCCCCCCCCCCAAAGAUUUAUAUUUUCUCUUUUCCUCCCCCUUGUUUAUCUCCUAGCUUUGCCCCUGACGGAAGCAAUCCAAUUUGGACGAAUGACUGGGAUGCAAGGGAACUUUCUAACGACUUCAUAUUCUUAGCCUUUGCUUUCAGUAGGAUACCUUCAUGUAGCCCACCAAGGACCAAAUACAACUGCCCACAGAGGAAAAAUAUAAACACCUUUGAUAACUGCAUAAAAUAUGGACCCGUUAGAAUAAUAGGACUCGUCAUUGGUACUAAACAAAAAAUACUUCCACAAAAAAGAUUGGAUUUGACCAAGGUGAAGUUACAAUGCAAGCGUGCAAGAGAGAGAGAGAGAGGGAUGGAGAAAACAUAUUAGGCCAUUGAACUAGAGCUCCACUGCGAUGAAAUAACAGAAGAACAUCCGACGAUGAUCAGUCCUUGCCCUAGGCGGUAUAUUUCACGCCUGACUGUCUGUUCACCAUUGCCAUUUCCUUUGGCUUCAACUAUUGAUAUCCGAUUAAGACUAACAUCAUGCCCUUUGCCAAUCUUAUUAACCCUUGUCAAGACCGAGUUCUAUCACCAUAGGCAACCUCUAAGCCAGUGGCGGAGGUACAUGCAUUGUUGAGGGGGAGAGGGCCAAUGCCCCCCCCCCCCCAGGAUAUUUAGUGAAUAAAAAAGUAGAGGCUUAGAUUAAUAANNNNNNNNNNNNNNNNNNNNNNNNNNNNNNNNNNNNNNNNNNNNNNNNNNNNNNNNNNNNNNNNNNNNNNNNNNNNNNNNNNNNNNNNNNNNNUGCCUCCCCCCUUGUUUCUCUCCUAGCUUUGCCCCUGAUGGAAGCAAUCCAAUUUGGAUGAAAGAUUGGGAUGCAAGGGAACUUUCUAACGACAUCAUAUUCUUAGCCUUUGCUUUAAGUAGGAUACUUUCAUGUAGCCCACUAAGGACCAAAUACAACUGCCCACAGAGGAAAAUAUAAACACCUUCGAUAACUGCAUAAAAUAUGGACCCGUUAGAAUAAUAGGACUCGUCAUUGGUACUAAACAAAAAAAAACAUCCACAAAAAAUAUUGGAUUUGACCAAGGUGAAGUUACAAUGCAAGCGUGCAAGAGAGAGGGAGGGAUGGAGAAAACAUAUUAGGCCGUUGAACUAGAGCUCCACUGUGGUGAAAUAACAGAAGAGCAUCCGGCAAAGAUCAAAUCCUUGCCCUAGGCGGUAUAUUUCACGCCAGACUGUCUGUUCACCAUUGCCAUUUGCUUUGGCUUCAACUAUUGAUAUCUGAUUAAGACUAACAUCAUGCCCUUUGCCAAUUUGAAUAUACUCAUUGUAAAUUAUAUUUCCGCGACGCAAUAUGGAAUUAUAACCUGUAAAGUUAAUGUUAAGGCACAAUUUCGUUCAAAAUGACAUGAAUUUAUUAUUUCCAACAGAACAAAUAUUUAAAUUACCAGCAAAUGCAUCCUUGCUUAAGUUUAUGGUUUUAGAGGCUUUCCUUAUACCACCUCUUGUCAAAUGAAAGAUCCGGAUGACCAUAGUGAAUCGUACUCUGCAACCAUUUUGGAUCUUUUAGUACAUUACAUAAACAUACUAUCAAUUCUUCGGUAAAGAUAUACACGGUAUUUAAUAGUACUAUAUGACACCCUAACAUUCAUAAAACGAGAACAACAGAGCGUCGGAAAUUAGUUUGUGCCAUCUAUGAUGAGAAGCAUACUUUCACCUAAUGGGAUCAACGAGGAAUCUAUGUCAAUUGUAACAAAGGUUGUUUCUUAGUAUGACAUGAAUCCAGCAACCGAAAUAUAUUGCAACGGGUUUCCGGAACAACACGCGGGGUAUCAUCUACUCCCUCUGUCCCAUAAUAUAAGAGCGUUUUUUUACACUAGUAUAGUGCCAAAACAUAGUUAAUUAGGGAAGUUGAGCAUGGCCCUAAUGCCAUUAGCAAUGAAGAAAUUAUUUUGGCCAUGGACGAUGCUGAUUCUGGUUUUAUGGCUGCAUUUUAUUCCGUGUGAAUGUGUGAUAUCAAAAAAAGAAGAAGAAGGCAGACAGUAGUUUGAUCUACAUAAAUUCUACACGGGUAAACGUUGGAAUCACAACACGAGAGCAAGAACAGAUCAUUGAGCCAAUUAUUGAGGCCUUAAACUUCACGGACCACACAAUUUUUUCCACGCACUUAUCGCCUUGCUGCCAUCACAAGAUGCUACGGUCCAUUGCUGCAACAGUGUUCCCAAGUUUUAGCCAGGCAACCAGUCCAAUCCCACAGAUAUCGUGCCAAAAACCAAAUCUGAGAAUAGUCAUCUGAAUGAACCGACUAAUGUUGAUUGAUGCGACGAUAAAAACCAAUAAAAAAUAUCAUAAUCAGAAGAAGAAAACAAUCUACUUCAUCAGCAUUAACACCUCGUGCUAUGUCAUCAAUCAACCCGCUUCAUCGAUCCGCCGUCGAGCAGCAGCCAGCGUAUAUAUGUAGCUCGGUUCCUCAGCACCAACUCAUCAGCAAACCCGUGACUGCGAAGAAGAAAAAGAAGAAGAAAGAGUGAGGGAGGUAUCAACUGAAGCUCUUGGAGUGAAAUGGCUACCGCCGGGAAGGUGAUCAAGUGCAAAGGUUGGUUCCUGAACCAUUAAGUUUCCUAUUCAUCUCAGUCUGUGUGAAGAAAUUCCUGGAAUGGGUGGAUGGGAUGAAAUUAACAAGGGAGGGCGUAUAGUUAAUUUGGUUGGUGCUGGCAGCGGCGGUGGCGUGGGAGGCCGGGAAGCCGCUGUCGAUGGAGGAGGUGGAGGUGGCGCCGCCGCAGGCCAUGGAGGUGCGCGUCAAGAUCCUCUACACCGCCCUCUGCCACACCGACGUCUACUUCUGGGAGGCCAAGGUACAUAUCUUAUCCAAAACAUCUCAUAGUGUACCAAUUUUGUGUUUUCCAGAUUACUUUAUCUGGAUGAAUGGAUGAGUUGGUGAUGCGCUGCUUGGAUCUUGGCAGGGCCAAACUCGGCAAAUUUGACCAUUUUGACCUACGGACGAAAUCAAUUCACGGAAUGAACUGAUCGUGAAACUAUUUCACAGCCCUAACCUUUUUGUGUAGCGCCCGCCACGACGGCGCCACACCCUACUGUGCAGCGCCUAGCACGGGGACGUUGCACACCAGUCCACCGUGGCAGCCCCUGGGCCCGCACACAGCAGUGCAACGCCUUCGUGCUAGGCGCCACACAUGUAAUGUGCAGCGCCCAGCCCAUAGGCGCCACACUUGUAAAGUGCAGCGCCUAGCGCGUAGGCGCUGCACUGUGACUUAUCCAGCCACUUGGCUGCCCCCCCUCCCCCACCCCCACACCACACACUCUCCCACUCUCCUCCCCGAGCUUUGCCCCCUCUCCCACUCUCUCCCCCUCUCAAAUCCUCUCCCAAAUCUUGCAAAUUUGAAGAAUUUGUCCGUGGAUUUCGAAGUCAAACCCUCCCUCAAGGUAAUAUUCUCCGAUCCCCUUGUUUUGAUUCAAGUAAAGUUCCCAUUGCUCAUUUGUUGCUAGUUUGGGGAAACCCUAGUUUUGUUUGGAUCUAGAGAUUUGCAUGGAAAUGUGAGAUGUUUGUUUACCAAUUUCUAUGGUUAGGCUUUGUUAGUAUGCUAGGGUUAUUCUUAUGGGUGUUCUUAUGUUGGUGCUAGGGUUAGGUUUAGGGCUAGGGUUAUGGUUAUGGUUAUGGUUAUGGUUAUGGUUGUUGUUUGAUAUAUAUAUUAGGGUUUCUAUUCCGUGUUAAUUCUUGUAUUAGUACUCAUGGAAGCAAUGUUACCUUGUGUUAUUGGAAUGCUUAUAGGGAUGGGAAGAACAUGUGUGUUUGUUCAUCAUGGGGACAAGGACGCCUUUUUGAAAGGCAAUGUAGAACCGGACCCGGAUGAGGUUGACAUGGUGUUUGAUAGUAGUCCUAGCUAUGCGGAGCUCUUGCAACAAGUUAGGGAAGAUUUGAAUUGGACGGACCCUAGUGAUAUCAUAGAGUUGGAGGGAAGGCAUAAUGUUGGUUUUGGAAUGCACAUCCGUUGGAAGACAAUGCGUGUCAACUCGGAGCAACGUUGGGUUGCAUACAAGGAGACGGUGGCCGAAUCACUAGACAAGGCUCUUGAGUUAUUUGCAACGAAGAAGGUUGGUUCAAGUUUGCAUUUGGACUUGAACCGGAACCCCUCCCCUUUGGUUGCUAGUAGCCCCACACCCUUGAAGCGAGAUGAACUUGUUGAACCUCUUUUGACCCAAGAAGUGAGGCCAACAUGAGCCCGUUUACAAACAACCAAGAUGAAGCUUUGCAAGAGGACAAUGAUGAGUAUGCGGACGAUGACAAUGAAGUUGAUCUCCAUGACAACAAUGUGGGUGAUCUCGACAAAUAUCACUUGCAAGAGACAAUGGAUCCUUCCAUCCCUUUUUCCCGUGCAUAUGCAUUGGACUCGGAUGACGAUGGUCCCGAUGAACAAGUGGAUGCGGAGGGGUUCACGGUGAAGGAGGCCGAAGCUUUCGAGAAGGUAUUUGGUCGGGAUCAUCGGACUACAUUGUUCAAGGAUGUUAGUCUCGCGGAUGAAGCCGUGGUAGAUGGUGGCAAUGUGUACCUCUUGGGGUUAGGCCAAGCUCUCAUCGUGAUUUGGGAGACGACAAGAACCGCAUUGCUAAAGGUUCUAAGUUUGACACCUUCUUAUGCAAUGUCGAGUUACGAUGGAAGCAUGAUAAUAACUUAUGCAAUGUCAAUUCACCUGCUCAGGCGUGAUCGCGUCCAUCUCGCUCCUGUACAGCUUGUACAUGACCGAGGGAUCAUCCGUCAUCUCAUUUAACACAUCCCACUUGUAAGCCCAAGUGGGGAGCCGUAGUGGAUCGUCUUUCUCGUCCCAAUCCUCGAACUUCACGGUCUUCGGUCGUCCAACCGGCAAACGCUCCCAGCUCCAUAUGGAAAGUGCGAGCAAACAACCACCAAUACCUCCAGAUAGCCUACAACAGGCUUCGUCCAACUGCACAUAAAAGAGAACAUGGUUGAAUUAACAGCAACAUCGCAUUCAUAAUGUACCAAUGAAUUAAAACAGAAACAACUUCAUACCUGUCUAUACAAGUAAGCCAGUGUCGCCGAACCCCAACUCCAUUUGCUAUCGAAGACGGUCAACGCCUUGAGCCACAUCCAUGGAGCAUUCUUGCCUGUGCCAUCAGCAAACAUACUCCUGGAUAUCACGUACCACAUGUAGACACGAGCAUAUGUCUUCACCGUGUCCUCAUUAGCAUCCUCAGGGCAAUUACUGAAGUUCGAUACAAUCCACGUGAAAGUAGCACCGGCUGCGACUCUUUCCUUCUUCUUGCCUUCUACUUCUGGUUCGCGCGGCUCCGGAGGAACCAUACCGAUAAGGGCAAGCAUUUGCUCGCGCCACCCAUCAGAAUCGGUGCUCAUACAUAGAGGAUUCCCAUCGAUAGGAAAACCGGUGAUCAUAGCUAUAUCCUGGAGCGUCACGGUCAUCUCCCCGGUCCGAAGAUGGAAAGUGUGUGUCUCCGGCCUCCAAUGAUCAAUAAGCGCGGUGAGUGCUGGAGGAUUGUUGGGUGGCGUCGACCUGCUGACCAACUGAAUGAAAGAGAGAAGUCUUGUCUCCCUAACAUACGGGGUGUACCGCUCAUCAUAGCGCAUCCACCCAAGGUUGACCCCGUGAGCCCGAAGCUUCAGAGGUGCAAGCUCCUACAAGCAAACAAACAAAUCAUUACAUAUGGGGGGUAUGUGUUUGAAAAAAAACACGAAAUUCAUAACACCGACAACUUUCAUUAUUACCUGCUGCUUCACCGACAUAGCGUACGACCGGUGUUGUAGAUCCCAAUGAUCAUUGAGAAGCCAAACCAUCCUAGCAAUUUGCAAGAAAGCUUUCUUGUCAACACGAUUAUCUUUUGAAUACAAAAAAACUAAAGUAGGCCUACUAGAUGCAACCAUACCAAUCUAUGUAUCCAACCAUAUCAAAUCAAACAUAACUAAUAAAAAAGGGUUCCACAAAUAACUAGGCCUACUUCAUACAAAUAACUUUUCCAUAAACUAUGCCUACUUCAUAAAAAUAACUCUUCCAUAAACUAAACUAGGGUUCCACAAAUCAAACAAACAAGGGUUCCCCAAAUCAAUCAAACAAGUCAAUACAUGCAAAGUUCUAAUACAUGCAAGAUUCAAAUCUAAUCUAAUCAAACAAGGAUUCCCCAAAUCUUCAAAAUAUCAUAUUUUCUAUGGAUAGAAAGAAGGGGAUCGGAAGAGAGUACCUUCUAGGAUGGAUUGGUGAAGAAAUGCACGGACCAAAUCGUCGGAUCUGAAGGAUUUGGGAGAGGGGAUUGAGAGGGGGAGAGGAGGAACCUGCCGCGCCGCUGCUUCUGUUACUUCAAAACCGAACGAAUGGGUGGGGUGGGGGAGGGGGAGCGGGCGGCUAGCGUCUAAGUCACCGUGCAGCGCCUACGGGCUGGGCGCUGCACAUUACAUGUGUGGCGCCUAGCACGGAGGCAUUGCACUGCUGGGUGCGGGUCCAGGGGCUGUCACGGUGGACUGGUGUGCAACGCCCCCGUGCUAGGCGCUGCACAGUAGGGUGUGGCGCCGUCGUGGCGGGCGCUACACAAAAAGGUUAGGACUGUGAAAUAGUUUCACGGUCAGUUCAUUCCGUGAAUUGAUUUCGUCCGUAGGUCAAAAUGGUCAAAUUUGCCACCAAACUCCGGUUUUCCUUAGGAUCUUGGGCCAUGAAGCUGGAGGGUAUCCAUACUCACCUUUUGCCUCUCUCUUAGCCGCCCCCCCCCUCUCUUUCCCCUGUUUUAAGUUUUAAUAAUUGUUAAUCACUUCAUGGAAUCUAGCUUUGAAUCCUCACCUGAAAUAUGGUUUUAUUGGUGCAAUUAUAGUCAUCCUGAAUCCUACUAGUAUUUACCCCGAAAAUAAUAAUAAAAAGAAUCCUACUAGUAUUUGUCUGUACUUUUUUUAUUAGUACUCCCUCCAUUCCGAUUUACUCGUCGUGAUUUUAGUUUAAGAGGCAGUACUUUGCUGAAGUAACAUGUUUGUUCCCUCACAGCAUUGUGGAGAGUGUCGGUGAGGGCGUGACGGAGCUGGUGCCGGGCGACCAUGUCCUCCCGGUGUUCACCGGAGAGUGCAAGGAGUGUGCCCACUGCAUGUCAGAGGAGAGCAACCUCUGUGACCUCCUCAGGAUAAAUGUCGACUGUGGCGUGAUGAUCGGCGACGGGCAGUCCCGCUUCAGCAUCGACGGGAAACCCAUCUUCCACUUCGUCGGGACGUCCACCUUCAGUGAGUACACCGUGAUCCAUGUCGGGUGCCUUGCCAAGAUCGACCCCGAGGCGCCCCUCGACAAAGUCUGCCUCCUUAGCUGUGGUAUCUCAACCGGUAAGAGUCUAUAUGUACUGAGCCGCCGACGAGUUCAACAUGUUUGGGACGCCUCGGCGAAUUGCUGAGAUUUCAUGUUUCCAAUUCAGGGCUUGGUGCGACCCUCAACGUCGCAAAGCCCAAGAAGGGCAUGACAGUGGCGGUUUUCGGUCUUGGAGCUGUAGGCCUCGCUGUAAGUGUUCCUCCACCAGAUAUUCUUUCAGGUCGAUCGAUGAGAAUUGUUCUAUGACCAUGACUAAUUACAGGCCAUGGAAGGGGCCAGGAUGUCCGGCGCAUCGAGGAUUAUCGGCGUGGACUUGAACCCUGCAAAACACCAACAAGGUACGCAUGAUAAUCUGCCGCUGCCAUGCCAUCGAUCUUCAGGAAGAAAAUUAAAACAAUCCAUCCAUCUUGGCAAAAUGUAUAUUUGUUAGCACCGGAGCAGACUGACUGAGCCUUGCAACCCCAUGCAUGUCCAUUGCUUUUCAGCUAAGAAAUUUGGCUGCACCGACUUUGUGAACCCCAAGGACCACGCCAAGCCAGUGCAAGAGGUACUUGUUCAUGACAUACGCGCACAAGAAGCUUGUGUCAAAUGAAAUGCUGAUGGUCCAAAAAUACGCCGCAGGUGAUCGUGGAGAUGACCGACGGCGGGGUCGACCGGGCCGUGGAGUGCACGGGCAACGCCGACGCCAUGAUCUCCGCCUUCGAAUGCGUGCACGAUGUACAUAUGAUGAUCACUUGCUCCUUCUUCUGCUGCUUGAAACUGAAUCCUGACACUAACACUAUGGCCUGAUGGACGGGAGCAGGGGUGGGGCGUGGCGGUGCUGGUGGGGGUGGCGCACAAGGAGGCGGUGUUCAAGACGCACCCCAUGAACUUCCUCAACGAGAGGACGCUGAGGGGCACCUUCUUCGGCAACUACAAGCCGCGCACCGGCCUCCCCGGGGUCGUGGACAUGUACAUGAGGAAGGAGCUGGAGCUGGACAAGUUCAUCACCCACAGCGUGCCCUUCUCGCAGAUCAACACGGCCUUCGACCUCAUGCUCAAGGGGGAAGGCCUGCGCUGCGUCAUCAGGAUGGAGGAGUAGAGGUAGAGCCCCUGGCUCUUCUUCAUCCCUCGCUGCUAUUGGACUACAACACACAUGUAUCAGCUUCUUUGCUACUUUUUUUUUGAAGUCAUGCCACUUAUAGGACUCCGAUUCAUUAAAUAAGCAGAAGAGGGUUGCUCGAUUAAUUUGCGAAAACUCGGCGAAAACCAUCACAACAUGCCCACAAAAGGGCACACCUGUUCAACCUCACUACCCACAAGACCCGCACUGUCGAGGACACGUACGCCUUUCUCUUACCGCCAGAAAGAAACCGCAUCGAAUCGCCAUCCUCCGACAACAAGAACUGCUUACUUCCUCCGUCCCAUAAUAUAAGAUGUUAAGAACAAAUUUGCAUCCUACAACAAAGACUGCUUGUUGCCUACUUCCUCCGUCCCAUAAUAUAAAAUGUUAAGAACAAAUUUGCAUCCUACAACAAGGACUGCUUGUUGCCUACUUCCUCCGUCCCAUAAUAUAAGAUGUUAAGAACAAAUUUGGAUAUAAGAUUCAGUUGGAUAUUUAUGCACCAUGCAGGAGAAGUGAGAACGAAUUUUGAUACAAGAUCCAGUUGGACAUUUACGUAACCAAUUGAUUUAUUUCUACAUCGUUUGCCUACAUCUGGGUUUUCCAUUUUUUGUUUUUAUGCAACCCCCCUCUCCCUGUCUACUUAUUCGAAAUAUCAGUGAUUUGUUUCUCAUCACAGCAGAUGAUCAGAUUUAAUCUACACCCCACCCUUUGACUGGAAGAAGCGUGCGUGAAACAGUGUUACAGAACCUGGACAGCUGAUACUAUUCAACUAAUUUCAUAAUCCAUAACUGCUCAGUAUUUACAAACUAUUGCCUGGUUGAGUACAGUCAGAUCCAAGCAAAUUUUACAAGUUAAUCUCAUGAGCUGAAAUUGACAGGAUCCAGGGACAUAACAUGUAUCCAAAUACAGACUUUGUGGUUCACUCUAUCAACGGUCUCCGAAUUUUGAUCAGGCAAAGAACUCGACCAUGUUGUUAGUCCAAGACUGUCAUUUUGAAGGGGUGGCACCUUGUCUUGAUGAAGAAUCCGGAUCAAGCUGGGCAUAAGAGGGAGACGUUUCCGGCUCCAGUAGGAUUUGCCUGAGAUGCUUGUCCUCGAGAUGUUCCUAGAAACAAUUAAAACAUGGAACGAUCAGCCAUUAGAUAAGCAAGAAACACGCAACAUUAAAUCACAAAAUUUAAACCUAAAUGACUGAAAUGCAAGAUACGACAGAUUGCUUAUGUCGUAGUGAAGAAAACAGGGUACUGGUGUAUGUUGAACACUCAUCGUGCGAUACAACAGUGCUUUGUGAAUGAAACCACUUUGUUGAACUCAAUUCCUGAACAAUCAUUCUUGUAACACACAGAUACUAUAUGGCAACAUGGACAACUGAAGAGGUAAAUAACACAGAUACAGACCGAAUUUUGACAAAGUGAGAACUUUCCCUAUAAAUAAACUAAUUAAAUACAUUGGGGUGGUAAGAAGUUUUUGUUCCUUGCAGUAACAGCAAAUUACUGCAAACAAAAAGCACAAGGCUGUGAACCAUCGAUCUGGUACGAUUUGAUAUAACCACCAGUUUUACAGAACACACAUCAUUGCUAUUUACACUAUAUAAGUCAUGGAGAACAAUUGACUUGCAACUGUGCAAGUGAAAAAAAAAGACAGUCCGUUCAGCAAUAGAAAUUGACAACAGUGAGUUUUCCUAAGAAAUAGCAGAUCUUUUGCUGGGUUGGCAGUCAGUAAGCAACCAGAAUGCCUACCAACCAUUCCCAAAUUCUCACCAGCAUCGCACCAGUUAUGACCAAUACUUGCCUAGAAAACAACCUAACAGCAGCCAAUAAGCAAAAUAAGAACACCUGUAACUGCAAAUGGUUUUAACAAGAUCCGUUUUUGGUGUAGCCUGGGAUGUAAGCAUAGAAGGGUUUGCUGGUUACUUUGGCCCCUUUUAUCCACCAAAAAAAAUUCAUUGUUGGUUAACUCUCUACAGACUGAGCUCCCCUGCGAUAUCAAUUAACUGCUUUGCCAUGCAAAUGCCGGAACUAGCACAGUCUUGCAAGCUCAAUCGCUCCGGCUAUUCAAACAGGAUACAAGGUUAAUAAUCUCUGUUUUUAGGCAAUAACCUUUUUGGGUAGAAAGAGCGUCCUUGUUAACCUACAUUGCUUGUCCACAUAAGUGCUCUGAACUGACAUUGCACACAAUAGCCGCCGGAUCCCACAUUUGCAACAUGAGGACCGCAGCGCAAUCCAAAUCAAGAUCAUAAGCAACAUAACACCUGACUGCCAUAAGCCCCCCCUACUAUGAUGAUUCUCACAUUCUCCCCAGAAUACCCACCUUAAGCCAACGCAGUUAAAAAAGCGACAUAACCGAGACAGUCCCUCCUCAAAUAUCUUCCUAAACAAGAACUCCAAAUCUUACAUGAAAUUUAUGCCUCCCAGUCCCAGGACUGGAAUUAUCUCAGCCUAAACUAUAAGAUCUUCAUAAUCAGGAAUCCAUAUCUCUGGAAAAUAUCACCUCAGGGAGCCCCAUCAGAGAAAACUAGGCGGUCAAUGGUGGGGGAUCUCUACCGCGCGCAUAGCAAACCGGUGAUCCAAUCUAACCGGCAAGCAACGAUAGCGAGGUGUGGUUGGGGCGAGGGGGGGUGUUGGCGGGCGUGGGCUAGGUUUACCUCGAGGCAGGCGCGGUACUUGUGCCAGUCGGCGGCGCAGUCGUCCUUGUUCCACUGGCCCUUGGCGAACUUGUCGGCGUACCACCGGUUGAAGCACUCGUGGUACGCCGCCCGGAGGUCGGAGCAGGCCGCCGCGGCAGCCGACGAGGUGGCGGCCGCCGGGGAGGGCGUGGACGAGGAUUGCUUGCCCCGGCCGAACACCAUCCUUGUGCUGCUUCUCCCUGGCCACCACCGCCGCCGAGUCUCGUUUUGUGUUCUCGCUUUGUCCUUCCCUCUCUCUCUUCCGUCCCACGAUCCUGCGCAAAGACGGAGGUUUAUUUACCGUAUAAUAAUCCGCUCGUAAGGCGUAUUUGGGGAUAUUACGUAAACCUACUCGAAGCGGAUUCCAAUUUCUACCGCAAAGCCGUACCCAACUUGCAUACGCCUGGUGUAUUAUGUUUUUCGGACGGACGCCUCGUGUGUGUUUUAACUACUUUUGAGUUUUCUCUCCCUUUUUUUAGCAUAUAAAAUUAAUUGUUUUUGUUAUUUUAAAAACUUCUAAUUUAUUCGUCGACUAUCAAGAUAUAGUACAAAUAACAGAAGUAAAAAUUAAAUCCAUAUCGUAUACCACCUAGCGACGACUACAAGCACUGGGGCGAGCCGAAUAAGCGCUGCCAUCAUCGCCCCUCCAUCACUCGAGUCGGACAAACCUUGUCGUAGUAGACAGUCGGAAAGUCGUCAUGUUAAGACCUCAUACGACCAGCGCACUAGAAUAGCAACCGUCGUCGAUGAAGAGAAGCGUAGAUCAAAAAGAUCCAAUCUGUAGACACACCAACAUAGACGAAUAAAGACUGGAUCCAAGCGGAUCCAUCGAAGAAAACGCCGACUGAAUCCCGUGAGAUCCAUCGGAGACAAACCUCCACAUGCUCUUCGAUGAUGCUAGGCUCUCCUUUCUCCUCCCUCUCCCCCCCGCUCCUCUCCUCCCCCUUCCCUGCCCCUCCGCCACCGCUCCAUGCCCCUCCGCCGUUGCCCUGGGCUCUGAUUCUNNNNNNNNNNNNNNNNNNNNNNNNNNNNNNNNNNNNNNNNNNNNNNNNNNNNNNNNNNNNNNNNNNNNNNNNNNNNNNNNNNNNNNNNNNNNNNNNNNNNNNNNNNNNNNNNNNNNNNNNNNNNNNNNNNNNNNNNNNNNNNNNNNNNNNNNNNNNNNNNNNNNNNNNNNNNNNNNNNNNNNNNNNNNNNNNNNNNNNNNNNNNNNNNNNNNNNNNNNNNNNNNNNNNNNNNNNNNNNNNNNNNNNNNNNNNNNNNNNNNNNNNNNNNNNNNNNNNNNNNNNNNNNNNNNNNNNNNNNNNNNNNNNNNNNNNNNUCCCCUCCCCCCCGCGUCUGGCUGUUCCUCCCCGGCUCGCUCGUCGGUGGUUCGCUCUCCGGCGGCUUCUCCGUCUCUGCUUGGCUCCCGCUUUUGGGCUCUCGCUUCCGAUGAGGAUGGCUCAUCGGACGAGGAUCCUUCCCCCCGGCCCUCGCCGGCUCGCCCUGUGCGGGUCCCUUCCCCCUCCAUCACGCCUCGCCCUCGCAAGUUCGGGCCUGGGGGUCGGGGUCGGCCGGUGCCGUCGCCGUCGUCUGCUGCUGGCUGGGUCCGGAUUUCUUGUAGUCAGCGCAAAUCUGGUAAGGUUUCCUGCUUCUCGCAUGAUCCUGGGAUUCUGGGAGCCGCUCCGGGUGUGGUGUGCCCCUCCUCCCCGUCCUCUGCUUCUGGCCCGGCUUCCCCGUCGCCGGCGGCGGCAUCGCCGGGGCGGGUCGCGUCACUGGCGCCACUUGCCCUAGAUCUGGUCUCCUCUUCGUUGACCAGUGGGUUGCGGGCCGGACCGUCUGUUGGGCCUGUUGGGCCUUGCGCUCUUGUUCUGGCUUGUGAGCCCACUCCCCCUUCUCUGUCGCCAGUUGACGAUUUCCCCCCUCUCUUCUCUGUGGGCCCGGUGCGGCCUGCUUCUGCUUCGCGAGUCCCCCCUCCUCCCCCAGCCCGCUUGGCCCAUCUGGCCCAGGUGGGCACGACUCGGUCUGGGUAUUUAUGGAUCCCCCGCGGCUCCCCCCUGCUAGGGUUUCCGGCUUCCGCCGCUGAUUUGCAUCGUCACCGUCUCCCCAUUCGUUGUCUCGUCAGAUCCAACCCUCCUCCUCCCCUUCUCCUCUCCUUCGCUGCGAUGCUCCCCAUGGACAAAUUGCGGGGCUAGUCCUGUGAUACGGUCUCGGGCAGCAAGCGCCGGCGGGAGGAUUCUCCAGGCUCUGCUGUGGAUUUGGAGCUCGAGGCUUCGCUCCGUUCCAAGUUGGAGGCGGAGCAUGCGGUUCGUGAGCAGGUGGCUCGCGACCGCGCUGCAUGGGCCGUGGGUCCGGCGUGGCUCCAGCGCUCGGAGCGGGAGUGAGCUCCUGGAUCUGGUCCACAAGGGUCCAGAUCUGGGGCUUCUCUCUCUCCGGCGGUGGAUCCUUGGGAAGCGGCGGCGGCGGCUGGUGGGGGGAUCUCGUCCUCGUCGGGCUCCCUGCCUGCCCUUGGCGCGGGGCGUGGCGCGCCUGCUCCGGCGCGGAUUCCCCCCCUGCCCGGCAGGUGCUGGCGCGGGGCCUCGUCCUCCGCCUCGGUCCUUUGGGGGGCCGGCUCGGCGGCCUGCCGGUCCUUUUCCUGGUGCUUCCUCCUCAUUGGGGGUGGGAGAUGGGCUCCUGCCUCGUCCUCCCUCCCUCCCGCAGCUUGGCCCCAAUUCUUCCACCCCGAGCAACCCGUCUGCGCUCACCUGCUUCGCCUGCCAUAGGCCUGGGUACUUUCAAUCCAGAUGCACCAACCCCCCGUUCUGCCUGAUAUGUCGCUCGGAUGGGCACCUCACUGUCAACUGUAUGAAUCGCCAAAAGCCUCCUUCUUUCCUCCAGUUUGGCUUGGGGCUUCCUAGCUGCGCUUUCUUUACUAUGGAUAGCGAUCUCCCUGUCCUAGUGGCGGCCCUCUCCCUCUCUAAUGCUGCCAUAGUGUCGGUGAAAGAUCAAAAGAUCUCGUCUCAAAAUUUGCUUGAAGGGCUUCGGAUCUGGGAUGCUGAAGGUUGGGAUUGGCACGUUAAUCAACUGUCGGACUAUGAAUUCUCUGUUGUGUUCCCUUCCAAGGACUGCCUUCGGAUGAUUGCCUCGUGCACUAGCUUCACCCUUUCCCUCAACCAAUUGGUGGUUUCUGUGAAGCCGGCCACGUGCAGUGGAAAAGCGGUUGGUCCUCUCUCUCAGGUCUGGGUGUUGGUGGACGAUUUGCCAGCGGGCUCCGAUCUUCUGCCUUUCUCAUGGCGUUUGAUGUCCUGAUUGGGAAACCUGUGGAGGUGGAUGUGGAGUCAUUGGAUAAGGUUGGUCCAGCUCGGAUCAAGAUUUGGUGUUUGGACCCACUCUGUGUUCAUGGAGCUAUCGAUGUUUUUCCGUCUCCCAAUGGUGUCAGGCUUCGUGUUCGGGUGGAAGGGGCGGCUGCUUUCCAACCCCCACCCCCUCCUCCUCCCCCAUCCAACCCCUCGGACAAGCAUGAUAAGGAGGGGGAUGGCUCUGUGGGUGGUCAAAACCAGAGUGACGGAUCUAACCUGCGGUUCACCCAAUCCGAGUGGGAUGGGCUGGCUGAUUCGGAGCAGGAGUUGUUUCAUUCCCAGGCCCCUGCCGACACGGCUCCCCGUGAGUCGGUGGCGAUCCCCCUGCUGACCCUCUGGUGCCUGCUACUGAUGAUGUGUUUCUGAAGAACCAGCCUGUUUCGGCCACCCCUAUUUCCGGGGCCUGCUCCAACCUUUCAGUUUGUCCUAUCUCCCCCACUCGCUCCGGGAUUGAGGACCUGCCUGUCUUCCCUGGUCGUGAUGAGGUGGGGGCUUAGUCUAAGAGGAAGAAGAAAUCGUCAGUGCGCAAGUUCUCGGCUAAGAGCAGGAACUCCUCGGGCUCUAAACAAUCCAUGACUGGUGUUUGCCGCCGCCUCGACAAGGACCUCGACUCGAUGUCUUGCUCGGGCCCCGUCCCGGCUUCUCCCAUGGCUCGUUCUCCUGCGAUCCGGUCGCCCGCUUCCACGACUCGCAAGGGUAGGCGGGUUGCUGAUGCGGGCGGCUCUAUCAUGGAGCGGGCGGAGAGGCGGGCCACUGCUAAGGAUCUUCCCCCUUCAGGUAAACAUCUUGGUCCUUCCCCUUCUUCCUCCCCGACUCGGCUCGUUUUACCGCCCCUUUCCGAUGAUAUCCUUUUAAAUAUUAUGUCUGAUGUGGGAGUGUUGGUAGAUCCCGAGGUUGCCUCCCCUGUUUCUCUUCUUUCUACUAUUCGGGCUAACAAGAUGGCUCAGGCGGCCAUCGCUAAAGCCAAAGAGGCCGUUGCCUCUUCGGCUGCAGUUUCUGUAGGAGUCCGGGCUCAGGGUGCGGGUAUGGAGGUUGGUAGUGGCCAACCCCAGCCUAGCACUUCCAGAAGGGGCCCUGCUAAAAGAUCUAAACCCCGCACAGCUCCUAGCAGGUCGAGCCUCCGCAUUAAAAAUCUGUCUUACAAAUGAAAGCCCUAUUUUGGAACAUUAGAGGUUUCGGUGCUAGGGGGCGCCAUGACCAAAUUAAGGACUUGGUGCGUGCGAAUAAUAUCGAUUUGGUGGGGCUGGUUGAAACCUUUUAAAGAGUCUUUUUCCCCCAAUGAACUUUCUGCUAUCGCGGGCAUGGAUAGAUUUGAUUGGCAUGUGUUACCUGCUUCGGGCCAUCCGGGGGGAUCUUGAUUGGCUCAAAAAAAGAUGUCUUUGAUUUCGUUGCCUUUGAUCAUGGGGUCUUCUGGGCUAGCACGGUAGUUUGUCACAAAACCCUUAAUAUUCUAUGGGGAGUUCAUUGUGGUGUAUGGUCUAGCGGAUCACUCGAUGUCUUCCUUAUUUUUGGAUGAGUUGUCUGCUAAGAUUGAGGCUUGCAAUCUAGCGAUGGUUAUCGGCGGGGACUUUAACCUCCUUCAUUUUCCAUUUGAUAAAAGUAAUGACAAUUUUUCCUGGUCUCUGGCUAAUGCCUUCAAUGACUUUAUUAGCACCAAUGCCAUCCGCGAGCUCUCUAGGGUUGGAGCCCGUUUCACUUGGUCUAAUCAUCAGGCCAACCGAUUAGAUCAGUGCUUUAUAGAGUUUCUGUGUGUCCUAGUUGGGACUCUCUAUUUCCCCGGGCCUCCCUCACCGCGAAAAGUAUCGUUGCCCCCGACCAUACCCCUCUUCUUCUUGAUGAUGGGAUGCAUCAAGAUAGACCUCCUGCUAGGUUCCAAUUUGACGCUUCCUGGCUACUUGUUGAAGGCUUUAACGAUAUGCUAUCCUCGAAGAUUGCCCUUCUUCUUUCCUCAAAUGCUCGUUCCUUUGGUCCUUUAGACGAUUGGCACUCUUGCUCUUACAAUUUAAGCAAAUUUCUUAGAGGCUGGUCUCGUAAUCACGCUGCUGAGGAGCGUCGCUCGAAGGAUCUCAUAGAAUCUCAAAUCUUGGCUCUUGACCAUGCGGCUGAUUCCUCUAGGCUCUCUGACGAUGGGUGGUCUUUGCGGUACUGUGACGCCCCCGAUUCAAUCGUACACUAAUCAUGCACGCAAAUGUGUACGAUCAAGAUCAGGGACUCACGGGAAGAUAUCACAACACAACUCUACAAAUAAAAUAAGUCAUACAAGCAUCAUAAUACAAGCCAGGGGCCUCGAGGGCUCGAAUACAAGUGCUCGAUCAUAGAUGAGUCAGCGGAAGCAACAAUAUCUGAGUACAGACAUAAGUUAAACAAGUUGCCAUAAGAUGGCUAGCACAAACUGGGAUAUAGAUCGAAAGAGGCGCAGGCCUCCUGCCUGGGAUCCUCCUAACUACUCCUGGUCGUCGUCGUUAGCCUGCACGUAGUAGUAGGCACCUCCAAUGUAGUAGUCGUCGUCGACACUGGCUCCUGGCUCCUGGACUCCAGCAUCUGGUUGCGACAACCAGAAAGAAAGGAAAGGGGAAAAAAGGGGGGAGAAAGCAACCGUGAGUACUCAUCCAAAGUACUCGCAAGCAAGGAACUACACUACAUAUGCAUGGGUAUAUGUGUAAGGAGGCCAUAGCAGUGGACUGAACUGCAGAAUGCCAGAAUAAGAGGGGGAUAGCUAAUCCUGUCGAAGACUACGCUUCUGGCAGCCUCCGUCUUGCAGCAUGUAGAAGAGAGUAGAUUGAAGUCCUCCAAGUAGCAUCUCCAAGUAGCAUAUCCAGGUAGCAUAUCCAGGUAGCAUCUCCAAGCGCAUCUCCAGUCGCAUCGCAUAGCAUAAUCCUACCCGGCGAUCCUCUCCUCGUCGCCCUGUAGAAAAGCGAUCACCGGGUUGUCUGUGGAACUUGGAAGGGUGUGUUUUAUUAAGUAUCCGGUUCUAGUUGUCAUAAGGUCAAGGUACAACUCCAAGUCGUCCUGUUACCGAAGAUCACGGCUAUUCGAAUAGAUUAACUUCCCUGCAGGGGUGCACCACAUAACCCAACACGCUCGAUCCCAUUUGGCCGGACACACUUUCCUGGGUCAUGCCCGGCCUCGAAAGAUCAACACGUCGCAGCCCCACCUAGGCUCAACAGAGAGGCCAGCACGCCGGUCUAAACCUAAGCGCACAGGGGUCUGGGCCCAUCGCCCAUAGCACACCUGCACGUUGCGAGGGCGGCCGAAAGCAGACCUAGCCUAGUGGCGUUCCAGUCCAAUUCGGCGCGCGCCGCUCCGUCGCUGACGUCUGAAGUGCUUCGGCUGAUACCACGACGUCGGGAUACCCAUAACUACUCACACGUAGAUGGUUAGUGCGUAUAGGCUCGUAGCCGACUCAGAUCAAAUACCAAGAUCUCGUUAAGCGUGUUAAGUAUCCGCGAACGCCGAACAGGGCCAGGCCCACCUCUCUCCUAGGUGGUCACAACCUGCCCUGCCGCUCCGCUACAAAGUAAUAGUCGGGGGCCGUCGGGAACCCAGGCCCACCUCUACUGGGAUGGAGCCACCUGCCCCUUCAGCCCCCAACUCCGAACAGUAUCACAGGUAAUGUAACAGUGUAAAGUAUAUAGUAUAUGCCCGUGAUCACCUCCCGAAGUGAUCACAGCCCAGUAGUAUAGCAUGGCAGACGGACAAGAGUGUAGGGCCACUGAUGGAACACUAGCAUCCUAUAUUAAGCAUUUAGGAUUGCGGGUAAGGUAUCAAUGACUGUAGCAGCAAUGACAGGCUAUGCAUCAGAAUAGGAUUAACGGAAAGCAGUAACAUGCUACACUACUCUAAUGCAAGCAGUAUAGAGAAGAGUAGGCGAUAUCUGGUGAUCAAAGGGGGGGCUUGCCUGGUUGCUCUGGCAAGAGAGAGGGGUCGUCAACACCGUAGUCGAAUUGGGCAGCAGCAGCGUCGGUCUCGUAGUCUACCGGAGAGAAGAGGGGGAGAAACAGUAAAUACAUAGCAAUCAAGUGCAUAACAGGACAACAAGCAGAGCUAGACGUGUUCUAACUCGGUAGUAGGUGAUACCGACGAAGGGGGAAAGCAUCCGGGAAAGUAUUCCCGGUGUUUCGUGUUUUCGGACAGAUGAAACGGAGGAGGAAAGUUGCGUGUUUGAUAUGUUAGGGGUGUGUGGUGGACGAACGGGCUGCGUAUCCAAAAUCGUCUCGUCGUUCUGAGCAACUUUCAUGUUGAAAAUAUUUUAAUCCGAGUUACGGAUUAAAAGAUAUGAUUUUCUAAAUAUUUUAUUAAUUUCUGGAAUUUAAUUAAUUCGAAAAUGAUUUAAUGACAUCAGCAUGAUGUCAUGCUGACAUCAGAGUUGACUGGUCAACCUGACUUGUGGGUCCCAUUCGUCAUUGACUGAUUAGUCUAAUUAGGGUUUAAUUAAACUAUCUACUUAAUUAGAUUAAUUAAACAUGAUUAAUUAACUUAAUUAAUUCAUUAACUAUUUUAAUUAUUAAUUAAUUAAUUAAAUAUAUAUUUAUUUUUAUUUCGUUUUUUUUUCUCAGGGGUGUGGGCCCUGUUUGGCAUUGGCCCAGAGGCAACUAACAGUGUUUAGUUACUCUAAAAAUAUAUUAAUUAGUGAUGUGGGGCCAGGCUAUCAGUGAGUCAUUUUUUUACAGAGUUUAUUUAACCAAAAAAACAUUAAUUAGCAAGGUGGGGCCCGGUGUCAGGGAGUUAGGGGGGUCAUUAGCGCAUCACUAAUGAGGCCACGUCAGUGGCUAACGGCGGUGAUGGCAGAAUGCGCCGGCGGUAGCCGUUCAGUGGACUCCGACCACUAUGUGGCCCGGCGACGGUUCCCACGGCACGUGCUCGAUGUCGCUUGUCAAUUGUUGACCGCGGCUCGUGCGGGGGCUGCCGGAAUCGACGGGGGCGACGGCGUGUAGUGGCGGCGACGUUGGAGAGCACGGAGGGAGGCGGUUGCAGGGGCGGCCCGAGCGGUAGAGCUCCGGCGGGCGCGCGGUCACGGGACAGAGGCUGGGCACGGGCGCAGUGAGGGCGCCGUGGCGGUGCGGCAGUAGCAGCCGUGGCUACGUGGCGCGCACGGGCACGCGGGGGGAGGCGAGCGGGCCACACGGCAGCGCGGGCGACAGCAGGGGAGCACGGCGGGAGCUAGCGGGUGCAGGCCACAGGCGGGGAACGGCGAGCAAGGGGACCGGAGGAGAGGAAUCUCACGAGGGGAUGUAGGGUCCGGGCAGUGGGGGUCGAGGAAGAAGACAGGGACGACGCAGUCUGGCGGGGAGGCGAUGCCGGCGAGGUAGCGGGCGAUCCGGUGGUGGCGGCGUCGAGCGAUGACGGGGUGGGGGCCCCGAGCACUGGGCACCAGUCAGGAGGAGGUGAGGACGGGGCAGCAACCGGGCCGCCGGCGACGAGGGCGGCAAGGGGAUGAGCGGCGACAGCGAGGAAGCACCGAGCGGCGUCGGGGUCGAGCCCUCGAUCUCGAUCCAGAUCGAGGGGGGAGUGNNNNNNNNNNNNNNNNNNNNNNNNNNNNNNNNNNNNNNNNNNNNNNNNNNNNNNNNNNNNNNNNNNNNNNNNNNNNNNNNNNNNNNNNNNNNNNNNNNNNNNNNNNNNNNNNNNNNNNNNNNNNNNNNNNNNNNNNNNNNNNNNNNNNNNNNNNNNNNNNNNNNNNNNNNNNNNNNNNNNNNNNNNNNNNNNNNNNNNNNNNNNNNNNNNNNNNNNNNNNNNNNNNNNNNNNNNNNNNNNNNNNNNNNNNNNNNNNNNNNNNNNNNNNNNNNNNNNNNNNNNNNNNNNNNNNNNNNNNNNNNNNNNNNNNNNNNNNNNNNNNNNNNNNNNNNNNNNNNNNNNNNNNNNNNNNNNNNNNNNNNNNNNNNNNNNNNNNNNNNNNNNNNNNNNNNNNNNNNNNNNNNNNNNNNNNNNNNNNNNNNNNNNNNNNNNNNNNNNNNNNNNNNNNNNNNNNNNNNNNNNNNNNNNNNNNNNNNNNNNNNNNNNNNNNNNNNNNNNNNNNNNNNNNNNNNNNNNNNNNNNNNNNNNNNNNNNNNNNNNNNNNNNNNNNNNNNNNNNNNNNNNNNNNNNNNNNNNNNNNNNNNNNNNNNNNNNNNNNNNNNNNNNNNNNNNNNNNNNNNNNNNNNNNNNNNNNNNNNNNNNNNNNNNNNNNNNNNNNNNNNNNNNNNNNNNNNNNNNNNNNNNNNNNNNNNNNNNNNNNNNNNNNNNNNNNNNNNNNNNNNNNNNNNNNNNNNNNNNNNNNNNNNNNNNNNNNNNNNNNNNNNNNNNNNNNNNNNNNNNNNNNNNNNNNNNNNNNNNNNNNNNNNNNNNNUUUAGUUUUGUAAAGUACAAAAAUGAUCCCUAAAUUGGUAAUAGAAAUUAUACCACUGCCACAAUUAAUUUGGCACCUAAAUAUAUUAGUUUGUAAUCGUUUAUCAUUUUAAAAGCAUUUAAAUAAUUGUGUUUGCUACUGUUUUAGUUUAUUUAGUGCAUUUAAAUAUUUUAUUAAAUGAUGAUUUCUUCACCAACAUUUAUUAUGGAUUAUUUGACACAUUAGGAACAAUUUAGUUUUGACUUUUGAAAACUUUAAUUGUUUUAACUUUAAUUCAAAUUUAGAAUUUGAACCUAUUUCGAUCUAACGUGGGAUUAUCAACAAUAAUCGAGGUGACGUGGCAUCGUUAACACGGGAUUACUGUAGCUUGAUUACCCGGGCGUCACAAUUCUCCUCCAGUACAAGAAAUCUCGUCCCGAGAUUUAAGAGGUAGUGAAAGGGGGAAGGUUUGGUAACGAAUCUAGCGGGUCUUCUCAUUCUGCCUUGCUCUUCUCAAAGAGGCCGGUCCAAUACAUUGAUGUCUUCAUUUCUCUGUUUCAGGUCAUGAUAAUGCAGUCGGCAUCCUUUCUUCAGGAACUCCAUCGUACUUACGAGAGAAUAAAGGGUGGGUAUUCCGGGAGAACAGACCUCUGCAAGGUCAACUAUCUGGUCGAUAACAUCGAGGGAGGUGUCGGAAGUAACUCUCGAAUUUAAACUUAAGAAAAUAUCGAGAGUAAAGUAAGAAGGUACCAUGAGAAGUUUCCAAUGGGCAGGCAAUCGUUCAAUGGCCUAAUCAGAAGGUGAAAGGGGUUCAGAGCAACGAGAAUAGGUAUUGCGCCUCAUACCAGAAUAGUUCACUAGACAGGUGGUCUGUGAAUUACAUACGAAGUCAAGCGUGAGGAACAACCUUGGGAACAUGUGGUGUUCAGGAGAGUCAGGUUUCGAUCCUGUGGAACUGUGGGUUAUGGGCCCACCAUGUUGGUUAAAAGUAGGAAGGGCGCUGACAUCUCGCACGGUCAGGGUGGCAAGGCAUGUCAAAGGAUAGCCUGUCAGUAUGUCAGCAACAACAUCGGUACCAAGGGCGAGGAACGAAGAGAACCAUUUUCCUGCUCGUUGAAACGAGGCAGACCAAUAGGGAAAGUUCCCGUCCAUCGGUGGUUACCGGAAGUCAUCAACAGUAGAAACAGGGUCUCGCUGACAGAGUUGUACACCGAGGUGCUACCAUAAGCAGUGAAUUAUUACUGCUUAUACAAUAUAGAUCACAAGAAGGUUUAAACAAACCAAUGGAAAGGGAAAAGUGAUUAUCAGGUUUUAAACAGAACAAUGGAAAGGAAAAUGUGUUUAAACACAUAUUUCAAGGGUAUAUUCUUCCCAAGGCCAAGCAGAACAUAUUAUCCAUCACAGGGUAUAAUGUAGACAACUCUUUAGGUAAGGGGGGGAGGAAUCUCAUGAUAUUACCCAUACAACGGUGUUAGGAUAAUUGAUAAAUAAAAUUUAGCAUCGUGCUUCAAAUGUUCCUGUUGAAAAUCGGAGUACCAUUGACAUGCUUCGAGAUAGCAUUGACAUGGUCUUCAGGUGAAGAUCAGACUUUGGAAACACGAAGGAUCCAUCAGGAAUAACUGGUAUAAUAAGCCUUACAAUUUCCUCCAGGAAGAAUGGUUGUCCUUGCAAAAGAAAUUAUAACGAUAGGUCCUCCACCCAGGGGGGGGGGGUGCUAGGCAUGACAUCAUGUUACCGGGUCACGUAGAGAUCAAUGUUACAACUCUUGGAAAUAUGUCCCAACCAUCAUAUCUGACCGAGAUUCAGAUCCGGUUGGUGUCAGGAUACCUCAGACUUAGGAUACCUGAGAAGAAAAGGUGCAACGCAAAUUGACGAGAUGACAUUGUAAGAUUCUCGGGGAAAUGAACUAUGAAGUGAUUUCUGUUAUCAAGAGUCCAUCAUUAACCCAAGGAGAGGACAAGGAGGUGUCUGGUGAACUCAACGGCAAUUCACCGAGAUUCCCAAAAGAUGGAUGUCCACAAUUAAGUGAACAAGGAGAUAACAUUUGUUAGAUCAAAUGAUAUAAGGAAGUAUGCUCGAGGAAAACAUACACAAUUAAACAUUGGUUGAAAGGUGCGCCCGAAAUAUGGGUUGGGUUGCACGACCAAUGUCAGAAUGGUGAUGCAAUAAUCAAUAGCCUAAGAAUGAACUUUCGACCAUUAACUUCAAAGAGAUAGGGUUGCUAGAAGGAAAGAAUCCAAACAACACCGUUCACUUGUUGGAAUUAACACAGGGACCAAGAAAGAAUGGUGAUGGUGAGAAGUAUUUCUAUGUCAAGAAUUCUCAAGAGGUGGAACAAAUCUCAGAACAUUCUUGACAUAAAGGACGGUAAUACUCCAAGGUAAAGAAGAACAAUUGCUGGAUAGCAAGGAAACCAAGGUACAACACAAAUUGUGAACAAGUUUGUGUUGGGGGGGGGGGAAGGCAAGAAUGUUGCCAACGAUAACUCAAAUCAUCGAGGGACAAGGAUGGUAUUUCUCAUCAUGAAUUCAAUUGAUAUCCUGGAAGAACUCAUAAGGUUGAUGAGGAUCACGACACAUUUGUCGACAGAUUUCAUGAAGAAGUAAUCAAUCAGCGACGACAUCAAGUCAAAGGAAUGAUGAAGCCAAAAGUCAUUGGAACCAUGGGUACGACACAAACUCGAACUCAAGCUUGUUGUUUAAGGUGAAAGGGUAUGACGAGGAAAAUCGACGUAAGGUUAGUUCAUCGUCGAAAAUUGGUGCUCCGAGAAUAAGGACCAGGUAGCACCGUUAGAAUCGUCACGACAAUGAUAUAGCCAAACAGGCUAGGAAUGGCGUGAUCGGGUACAAACUCGUACUUAUAGAAGCUUACUGAAGAGUUGUUGAACCGUAGAGCGGACUCGGUUCAGUUAUCGGUGUCUUUGAGUGUUCAAUAACUCCGAGCCCAUGAAAAAUUGUAAUCGGUGAGUAUGUAGUACUUGAUGAAGAACUCAUAAGAAAUUAUGCAGUUCCAAGAUAAUCUCGAGAUACCAGGUGGUAAUACUCGAUGACAGAUCAAACUAGAAGUUGAACUGGGGUUUUGCUCUAUAGAAGACAAGUGCUUAAACUUGCACAGGACAUGAUAUUUAAAGGAGAACAUGGUCAGAACCACGAUUGCAAAAAGGCCAGAUCUCAGAUAUAAGAUGAACUUAUACCAAGGGAAUAAUUGAUUUUAAAAGAAGCUUCGAUGAGAAGAUCUACAUCAUGUCUAUGGGCAUGAACACAAAGUUCAAGGUCGACUCCCACUUCUUCAAUGUAUAAUCUUCCAUUCACUUCUCGCUUUGAUAAAGGCAUUAGUGUUGAAAGUUUUACCCGGUGAAAUACCAGAUGAGUAUGACUCGUGAAAUCUUCCGAGUUCACACAUAUUAAGGAAGGCAUAGGUUCAACCCAUCCGGGCAUCUUACGAACAUAUACCACAAACUUCGGGGUAAUUAAUACAAGCUCGAAAGUAGAGCAUUGUUGGUCAAGCAGAGGAUACAAUGUACCAAAGGCAUUAUGUAUCAGGGGAAAGAGCUCACAAGGUGAUUAAUUAUGAAGGACAUAAAAUCCAACAAAGGAACCGAUGGUCCACAACAGAGCUGGUGUGGGUAUCGGUACUCUAUCAAAGGAAGAAGGAAUGCAAGUGCACCGGAUUAUAGAAACAACUGACUAACUCAAUUGUCAAAUGCAAAGGAAUUAAGAUUCCCAAAUCAAGGGAUCAAAAGCAAUGCUCUGAGUAGGGAUGGAUAAGUUGAAUAGCCUUAGGGUACAAUCAAUGACAAUUGGAUUGGUCGAGAACCAAUUCCAGUUAAAAGAAUGGCAACUUAGCCGGAGAAGUAAUUUAUAAGGAUCAAUGAUGAUUGCGUGCAUUCGCAAACAUAUUGAGUCAACAGACUCAAAAUGAUAAUGACAAGGAAUGUCAUUAAGACUACGAGACUUAUGGGAUUAACCAUAAUGCGAGCAAGCAAGAACUUCAAGAGCCAAAGGCUCCAGAGGAUUUUCGGAAGAUCGAAUAGUAUUUUGAAGACUUUUGUGAAACUCAUGAACAACUGGGGAUGAGCGGAUACUUGACAAGUGCGGGGAUUUAUUUGAAGGGGUAUUCAUGUGGCAAAUAACUGCUAGGCAGUAGGCACGAAGUAUUCUCGGAACAAUAGAGAAAACUUCGGGUAUCUUGUAAUAACAAGAACAAUGGGGAAUGAUCGUAAGAAUGGCAAGUGCAAGUAGUUAUCCAUAAGGAUUUAUCGGUGGUCGGGAAUAGCAAAAGUGAUGGGCACAAAGUCUCGAGAGAAUAUCAAAGAGUAUCUCCGAAAUCUUCUGGUGCAGUCGGUGACCAUCUGGACUGAAGGGGCUCACCGGGACAAAGCAUUUUCGAGAACCUAAAGUUACUUUUUAGUAAAAAUCGUUUAACCCGAAUAGAAGAGGGUUCAGAAUCCCAGAGUGAAGGUCGAGGAAUAAAAGAUCCUAAUACCUCCCGAUGGCGACGUGGGCCCAUGGGCCACACAGCCAUGUUAGUAAAAGUUUUUCAACGACUAGACUCGACUUCGGCCAAGGAGUUGGAAAGGGGGAUUCCUACAGACAGUCGGCUCUGAUACCAACUUGUGACGCCCCCGAUUCAAUCGUACACUAAUCAUGCACGCAAAUGUGUACGAUCAAGAUCAGGGACUCACGGGAAGAUAUCACAACACAACUCUACAAAUAAAAUAAGUCAUACAAGCAUCAUAAUACAAGCCAGGGGCCUCGAGGGCUCGAAUACAAGUGCUCGAUCAUAGACGAGUCAGCGGAAGCAACAAUAUCUGAGUACAGACAUAAGUUAAACAAGUUGCCAUAAGAUGGCUAGCACAAACUGGGAUAUAGAUCGAAGGAGGCGCAGGCCUCCUGCCUGGGAUCCUCCUAACUACUCCUGGUCGUCGUCGUCAGCCUGCACGUAGUAGUAGGCACCUCCAAUGUAGUAGUUGUCGUCGACACUGGCUCCUGGCUCCUGGACUCCAGCAUCUGGUUGCGACAACCAGAAAGAAAGGAAAGGGGAAAAAAGGGGGGAGAAAGCAACCGUGAGUACUCAUCCAAAGUACUCGCAAGCAAGGAACUACACUACAUAUGCAUGGGUAUAUGUGUAAGGAGGCCAUAGCAGUGGACUGAACUGCAGAAUGCCAGAAUAAGAGGGGGAUAGCUAAUCCUGUCGAAGACUACGCUUCUGGCAGCCUCCGUCUUGCAGCAUGUAGAAGAGAGUAGAUUGAAGUCCUCCAAGUAGCAUCUCCAAGUAGCAUAUCCAGGUAGCAUAUCCAGGUAGCAUCUCCAAGCGCAUCUCCAGUCGCAUCGCAUAGCAUAAUCCUACCCGGCGAUCCUCUCCUCGUCGCCCUGUAGAAAAGCGAUCACCGGGUUGUCUGUGGAACUUGGAAGGGUGUGUUUUAUUAAGUAUCCGGUUCUAGUUGUCAUAAGGUCAAGGUACAACUCCAAGUCGUCCUGUUACCGAAGAUCACGGCUAUUCGAAUAGAUUAACUUCCCUGCAGGGGUGCACCACAUAACCCAACACGCUCGAUCCCAUUUGGCCGGACACACGUUCCUGGGUCAUGCCCGGCCUCGGAAGAUCAACACGUCGCAGCCCCACCUAGGCUCAACAGAGAGGCCAGCACGCCGGUCUAAACCUAAGCGCACAGGGGUCUGGGCCCAUCGCCCAUAGCACACCUGCACGUUGCGAGGGCGGCCGAAAGCAGACCUAGCCUAGUGGCGUUCCAGUCCAAUUCGGCGCGCGCCGCUCCGUCGCUGACGUCUGAAGUGCUUCGGCUGAUACCACGACGUCGGGAUACCCAUAACUACUCCCACGUAGAUGGUUAGUGCGUAUAGGCUCGUAGCCGACUCAGAUCAAAUACCAAGAUCUCGUUAAGCGUGUUAAGUAUCCGCGAACGCCGAACAGGGCCAGGCCCACCUCUCUCCUAGGUGGUCACAACCUGCCCUGCCGCUCCGCUACAAAGUAAUAGUCGGGGGCCGUCGGGAACCCAGGCCCACCUCUACCGGGAUGGAGCCACCUGCCCCUUCAGCCCCCAACUCCGAACAGUAUCACAGGUAAUGUAACAGUGUAAAGUAUAUAGUAUAUGCCCGUGAUCACCUCCCGAAGUGAUCACAUCCCAGUAGUAUAGCAUGGCAGACGGACAAGAGUGUAGGGCCACUGAUGGAACACUAGCAUCCUAUAUUAAGCAUUUAGGAUUGCGGGUAAGGUAUCAAUGACUGUAGCAGCAAUGACAGGCUAUGCAUCAGAAUAGGAUUAACGGAAAGCAGUAACAUGCUACACUACUCUAAUGCAAGCAGUAUAGAGAAGAGUAGGCGAUAUUUGGUGAUCAAAGGGGGGGCUUGCCUGGUUGCUCUGGCAAGAGAGAGGGGUCGUCAACACCAUAGUCGAAUUGGGCAGCAGCAGCGUCGGUCUCGUAGUCUACCGGAGAGAAGAGGGGGAGAAACAGUAAAUACAUAGCAAUCAAGUGCAUAACAGGACAACAAGCAGAGCUAGACGUGUUCUAACUCGGUAGUAGGUGAUACCGACGAAGGGGGAAAGCAUCCGGGAAAGUAUUCCCGGUGUUUCGUGUUUUCGGACAGAUGAAACGGAGGGGGAAAGUUGCGUGUUUGAUAUGUUAGGGGUGUGUGGUGGACGAACGGGCUGCGUAUCCGAAAUCGUCUCGUCGUUCUGAGCAACUUUCAUGUUGAAAAUAUUUUAAUCUGAGUUACGGAUUAAAAGAUAUGAUUUUCUAAAUAUUUUAUUAAUUUCUGGAAUUUAAUUAAUUCGAAAAUGAUUUAAUGACAUCAGCAUGAUGUCAUGCUGACAUCAGAGUUGACUGGUCAAUCUGACUUGUGGGUCCCAUUCGUCAUUGACUGAUUAGUCUAAUUAGGGUUUAAUUAAACUAUCUACUUAAUUAGAUUAAUUAAACAUGAUUAAUUAACUUAAUUAAUUCAUUAACUAUUUUAAUUAUUAAUUAAUUAAUUAAAUAUAUAUUUAUUUUUAUUUCGUUUUUUUUUCUCAGGGGUGUGGGCCCUGUUUGGCAUUGGCCCAGAGGCAACUAACAGUGUUUAGUUACUCUAAAAAUAUAUUAAUUAGUGAUGUGGGGCCACGCUAUCAGUGAGUCAUUUUUUUACAGAGUUUAUUUAACCAAAAAAAAA